UACGUAGGGUGCAAGCGUUGUUCGGAAUCAUUGGGCGUAAAGAGCUCGUAGGCGGUUCGUCGCGUCGGCUGUGAAAUCCCGAGGCUCAACCUCGGGUCUGCAGUCGAUACGGGCGGACUGGAGUUCGGCAGGGGAGACUGGAAUUCCUGGUGUAGCGGUGAAAUGCGCAGAUAUCAGGAGGAACACCGGUGGCGAAGGCGGGUCUCUGGGCCGAUACUGACGCUGAGGAGCGAAAGCGUGGGGAGCGAACAGG
rnacentral:rRNA from 1 species